GACGAACGCUGGCGGCGUGCUUAACACAUGCAAGUCGAACGAAGUGGCGAACGGGUGAGUAAUACGUGGGUAACCUGCCCUCCUUUUUGGGAUAAGCCUUGGAAACGGGGUCUAAUACCGCAUACCAUCAGAUGAACCCAUAUGGGAUUAGCUAGUAGGGGAGGUAACGGCUUACCUAGGCGACGAUCCCUAGCUGGUCUGAGAGGAUGAUCAGCCACACUGGGACUGAGACACGGCCCAGAGUCCUACGGGAGGCAGCAGUGGGGGAUAUUGCAAAAUGGGCGAAAGCCUGAUGCAGCGACGCCGCGUGGGGGAUGAAGGCUUUCGGGUUGUAAACCUCUUUCGCUAUCGAACGGGUAGGUGGAGAAGAAGCGACGGCUAACUACGUGCCAGCAGCCGCGGUAAUUC
rnacentral:rRNA from 1 species